AGCUUUGUGCAAUGGCAGUAUCAUAGCCAAUGAGGUUUAUCUGAGGCUUGGUUAUUGCUAAUUGAAAACCCAAGUUCUAGAG
rnacentral:snRNA from 1 species